rnacentral:rRNA from 1 species
GACGAACGCUGGCGGCGUGCUUGACACAUGCAAGUCGAACGGAAAGGCCUGCUUUCCCUUGUGGAUUGCGGGUACUCGAGUGGCGAACGGGUGAGUAACACGUGAGUGAUCUGCCCCCAACUUGGGUAUAAGCCUGGGAAACUGGGUCUAAUUCCCGAUAGGACUGCAGGGUGGUGCCUGUGGUGGAAAACGAUUUUCUAGUGGUUGGGGUUGAGCUCGCGGCCUAUCAGCUUGUUGGUGGGGUAAUGGCCUACCAAGGCGGCGACGGGUAGCCGGCCUGAGAGGGUGGACGGCCACAUUGGGACUGAGAUACGGCCCAGACUCCUACGGGAGGCAGCAGUGGGGAAUAUUGCACAAUGGGCGGAAGCCUGAUGCAGCGACGCCGCGUGGGGGAUGACGGCCUUCGGGUUGUAAACUCCUUUCGACCGCGAGGAAGCCACCUGGUUGGAAGGGUGGUGACGGUAGUGGUAGAAGAAGCACCGGCUAACUACGUG